GACGAACGCUGGCGGCGUGCUUAACACAUGCAAGUCGAACGGUGAACCAGAGCUUGCUCUGGGGAUCAGUGGCGAACGGGUGAGUAACACGUGGGCAACCUGCCCCAGACUCUGGGAUAACCUCGGGAAACCGAUGCUAAUACCGGAUACGACCACUUCGGACAUCCGACGGUGGUGGAAAGUUUUUCGGUCUGGGAUGGGCCCGCGGCCUAUCAGCUAGUUGGUGGGGUAAUGGCCUACCAAGGCGACGACGGGUAGCCGGCCUGAGAGGGCGACCGGCCACACUGGAACUGAGACACGGUCCAGACUCCUACGGGAGGCAGCAGUGGGGAAUAUUGCACAAUGGGCGAAAGCCUGAUGCAGCGACGCCGCGUGAGGGACGACGGCCUUCGGGUUGUAAACCGUCUUCUAGCAGGGACGAAGCGAAAGUGACUGUACCUGCAGAAGAAGCACCGGCUAACUACGUGCCAGCAGCCGCGGU
rnacentral:rRNA from 1 species